GAUGAUGCCUAUGAUUCUGAUGAUGAUGCGUAUGAUGAUGUUGAUGAUGCUGAUGAUGGCUAUGCUGAUGAUGCUAAUGAUGCCUAUGAUUCUGAUGAUGAUGCGUAUGAUGAUGAGGGUUCUGAUGAGAUCAAUACACAAAGUAAUUCUCACGAGGACAGGGAAACAGAGAGACACGGUGGACACAGAGACACGGGCACACAUCUGAUUUUAAAAUGUUGCUGGUCUGAAGAUGAUGGUGGUUUUAAGAUGAUUGUUGUUUAAGAUGUAACUGGUUUAAGAUGAGCUGGUUUAAGAUGAUUGUGGUUUAAGAUGUAGCUGGUUUAAGAUGAGCUGGUUUAAGAUGAUUGUGGUUUAAGAUGUAGCUGGUUUAAGAUGUAGCUGGUUUAAGAUGAUUGUGGUUUAAGAUGUAGCUGGUUGAAGAUGAUUGUGGUUUAAGAUGUAGCUGGUUUAAGAUGUAGCUGGUUGAAGAUGAUUGUGGUUUAAGAUGCAGCUGGUUUAAGAUGUAGCUGGUUUAAGAUGUAGCUGGUUUAAGAUGAUUGUGGUUUAAGAUGUGGCUGGUUUAAGAUGAGCUGGUUUAAGAUGAUUGUGGUUUAAGAUGUAGCUGGUUUAAGAUGAUUGUGGUUUAAGAUGAUUGUGGUUUAAGAUGUAGCUGGUUUAAGAUGUAGCUGGUUCAAGAUGUAGCUGGUUUAAGAUGUAGCUGGUUUAAGAUGAUUGUGGUUUAAGAUGAUUGUGGUUUAAGAUGUAGCUGGUUUAAGAUGUAGCUGGUUUAAGAUGUAGCUGGUUUAAGAUGAGCUGGUUUAAGAUGAUUGUGGUUUAAGAUGUAGCUGGUUUAAGAUGAGCUGGUUUAGGAUGAUUGUGGUUUAAGAUGUAGCUGGUUGAAGAUGAUUGUGGUUUAAGAUGUAGCUGGUUUAAGAUGUAGCUGGUUGAAGAUGAUUGUGGUUUAAGAUGUAGCUGGUUUAAGAUGUAGCUGGUUUAAGAUGUAGCUGGUUUAAGAUGAUUGUGGUUUAAGAUGUGGCUGGUUUAAGAUGAGCUGGUUUAAGAUGAUUGUGGUUUAAGAUGUAGCUGGUUUAAGAUGAUUGUGGUUUAAGAUGUAGCUGGUUUAAGAUGUAGCUGGUUUAAGAUGUAGCUGGUUCAAGAUGUAGCUGGUUUAAGAUGUAGCUGGUUUAAGAUGAUUGUGGUUUAAGAUGAUUGUGGUUUAAGAUGUAGCUGGUUUAAGAUGUAGCUGGUUUAAGAUGUAGCUGGUUUAAGAUGAGCUGGUUUAAGAUGAUUGUGGUUUAAGAUGUAGCUGGUUUAAGAUGAGCUGGUUUAAGAUGAUUGUGGUUUAAGAUGUAGCUGGUUUAAGAUGAUUGUGGUUUAAGAUGUAGCUGGUUUAAGAUGAGUCUGGUUUAAGAUGUAGCUGGUUUAAGAUGAUUGUGGUUUAAGAUGUAGCUGGUUUAAGAUGAUUGUGGUUUAUGAUGUAGCUGGUUUAAGAUGAUUGUGGUUUAAGAUGUAGCUGGUUUAAGAUGUAGCUGGUUUAAGAUGUAGCUGGUUUAAGAUGAGUCUGGUUUAAGAUGAGUCUGGUUUAAGAUGUAGCUGGUUUAAGAUGAUUGUGGUUUAAGAUGUAGCUGGUUUAACAUGUAGCUGGUUUAACAUGUAGCUGGUUUAAGAUGAUUGUGGUUUAAGAUGUAGCUGGUUCAAGAUGAGUCUGGUUUAAGAUGUAGCUGGUUUAAGAUGAUUGUGGUUUAAGAUGUAGCUGGUUUAAGAUGUAGCUGGUUUAAGAUGUAGCUGGUUUAAGAUGAUUGUGGUUUAAGAUGUAACUGGUUUAAGAUGAUUGUGGUUUAAGAUGUAGCUGGUUUAAGAUGUAGCUGGUUUCAGAUGUAGCUGGUUUAAGAUGCAGCUGGUUUAAGAUGUAGCUGGUUUAAGAUGAUUGUGGUUGAAGAUGAUUGUGGUUUAAGAUGUAGCUGGUUUAAGAUGAUUGUGGUUUAUGAUGUAGCUGGUUUAAGAUGAUUGUGGUUUAAGAUGUAGCUGGUUUAAGAUGAUUGUGGUUGAAGAUGAUUGUGGUUUAAGAUGUAGCUGGUUUAAGAUGUAGCUGGUUUAAGAUGUAGCUGGUUUAAGAUGCAGCUGGUUUAAGAUGUAGCUGGAUUAAGAUGAUUGUGGUUUAAGAUGAUUGUGGUUUAAGAUGUAGCUGGUUUAAGAUGUAGCUGGUUUAAGAUGAUUGUGGUUUAAGAUGUAGCUGGUUUAAGAUGAUUGUGGUUUAAGAUGUAUCUGGUUUAAGAUGUAGCAGGUUUAAGAUGUAGCUGGUUUAAGAUGUAGCUGGUUUAAGAUGAUUGUGGUUUAAGAUGUAGCUGGUUUAAGAUGUAGCUGGUUUAAGAUGAUUGUGGUUUAAGAUGUAGCUGGUUUAAGAUGAUUGUGGUUUAAGAUGUAGCUGGUUUAAAAUGUAGCUGGUUUAAGAUGAUUGUGGUUUAAGAUGUAGGUGGUUUAAGAUGUAGCUGGUUUAAGAUGUAGCUGGUUUAAGAUGAGUCUGGUUUAAGAUGUAGCUGGUUUAAGAUGUAGUUGGUUUUAAAAUGAUUCUGGUUUAAGAUGUAGCUGGUUUAAGAUGAUUUUGGUUCAAGAUGUAGCUUGUUUAAGAUGAUUUUCGCUUAAGAUAUAGCUGGUUUAAGAUGCAGCUGGUUUAAGAUGUAGCUUGUUUAAGAUGAUUGUGGUUUAAGAUGUAGCUGGUUUAAGAUGUAGCUGGUUUACGAUGAUUGUGGUUUAAAAUCUAGCUGGGUUUAAGAUGAUUGCGGUUUAGAAUCUAACUGGUUUUAAAAUAAUUCUGGUUCAAGAUGUAGCUGGUCGUAAUAUGAGCCCAGUUUAAGAUGAGCCUGAUUUGAAAUACAUCUGGGUUUAAGAUGA